GCGGAGGUUGUGUGGCUUGGAGGAGAUCGAGGAACCUGGAGGGGUUACACACACAGUUACACACCUGACAGGGGUCUCACACACACUUAAACACACUGCUGUUGCAGAAGACCAGAUCCUGACAGGCUGGAGGAUGAAGACACUGAUUUGGAAGGCUACAAGACCAAAAACAAUGCAAACAAAUAAUAAUGGCACAGCAGUUUAUAAUCAAUUGGUUUUAUGUUGGUAACUUAGGUAAUGUGUACACUCCUGGAACCUGUUAUUACAUGCGCCAGCAUGAGGCCGCUGAAUGUGCUGAUGUCACUAGAUGAGGCGGCCGGACGGGUGUGUGGUCCUGCUUCCAGGGGAUGCCAAUUUCACAAGGUGCUCAGAACCGGGCUGGAGUCUUUGGCUGGAACAGAAACUGAGGCAGGUAGAUGGAAGCUGGGAGGCUGGAUAUAAUUCCUACUCAUGAGCUAGAACAGGAAUGCAGAGAGAGUGGAACACACUAGUAUAUAAAUGAGCUGGUCAAGAUGGAACUGCUGGCAACUAAAGGCACAGAUGGGGCAGUCAGAACAGGAAUACUGGAGUCACUGGAAUGGAACCGGAAUACUGGAGUUACCGGAAUGGAAACGGAAUACUAGUGUCACCUGGUUUGAACCGGAAUACUGGAGUCACCGGGAUUGAACUAGAAUACUGGAGUCACUGGGACUGAACCAGAGUACUGAAGCCAGUAGUGCAAUAAGGUGUACACUGCAAGUUAUGUAUGCCAGAAUAGCUUCUAUAUGCCCUUAGCAGGAAGGCAACUGGUAGUGUGCAUCAUGUGACUGAGUUACUGCUUGGACAGUCACCUGAUGUGAACCAACAUUGAUGCUGGUGAAAAUGUUGCACGUGGAAGCAAGCGGGUAUGGUGGGGACUACAGGGGGAAGUAACCGUCACAGCAGUUGGGAAGCCACGCAAAGUCACAGGAGGUCUGCCACAGAGCUGGAGCAUGGAGCGGUGAACUAGAUAAGUGACCUGCUGGCUGCACUAAAUGGAACGAUUUGUAACAAGUAUGUUUAAAUCAUUUCAUGAAAAAUACACCUAAAUUGGUAUAGCUUUAAUUUCCAUACUUUGCACUGGAUUUUAACUUUUUGUCCGAUGCAUGUGCUCCAGAAUGCUGUUUGCACGGCAUUCUGGGGCACAGAAUUGGACCAGCAGCUAAAAAUCUAGUCUGUACUACAUUUAGCUGUCUGAAAGUGGACAAUUACGAAAUGUUGCACAAAGGAAAAAGCUGGUACAAUAAAAGUGUUCACACACCUC